rnacentral:rRNA from 1 species
AUAAUGGGUCAGCGACUUAUAUUCUGUAGCAAGGUUAACCGAAUAGGGGAGCCGAAGGGAAACCGAGUCUUAACUGGGCGUUAAGUUGCAGGGUAUAGACCCGAAACCCGGUGAUCUAGCCAUGGGCAGGUUGAAGGUUGGGUAACACUAACUGGAGGACCGAACCGACUAAUGUUGAAAAAUUAGCGGAUGACUUGUGGCUGGGGGUGAAAGGCCAAUCAAACCGGGAGAUAGCUGGUUCUCCCCGAAAGCUAUUUAGGUAGCGCCUCGUGAAUUCAUCUCCGGGGGUAGAGCACUGUUUCGGCAAGGGGGUCAUCCCGACUUACCAACCCGAUGCAAACUGCGAAUACCGGAGAAUGUUAUCACGGGAGACACACGGCGGGUGCUAACGUCCGUCGUGAAGAGGGAAACAACCCAGACCGCCAGCUAAGGUCCCAAAGUCAUGGUUAAGUGGGAAACGAUGUGGGAAGGCCCAGACAGCCAGGAUGUUGGCUUAGAAGCAGCCAUCAUUUAAAGAAAGCGUAAUAGCUCACUGGUCGAGUCGGCCUGCGCGGAAGAUGUAACGGGGCUAAACCAUGCACCGAAGCUGCGGCAGCGACGCUUAUGCGUUGUUGGGUAGGGGAGCGUUCUGUAAGCCUGUGAAGGUGUGCUGUGAGGCAUGCUGGAGGUAUCAGAAGUGCGAAUGCUGACAUAAGUAACGAUAAAGCGGGUGAAAAGCCCGCUC